GUGGGGUAACGGCCUACCAAGGCUAUGACGGGUAGCUGACGUGAGAGCGUGAGCAGCCACACUGGGGCUGAGACACGGCCCAGACUCCUACGGGAGGCAGCAGUGGGGAACAUUGCGCAAUGGGCGAAAGCCUGACGCAGCGACGCCGCGUGGGGGAGGAAGGCCUUAGGGUUGCAAACCCCUGUCAGGUGGGACGAACCCCGGGUCGGUUAAUAAUCGGCUCGACUGACGGUACCACCAGAGGAAGCUCCGGCUAACUCCGUGCCAGCAGCCGCGGUAAUACGGAGGGAGCGAGCGUUGUUCGGAAUCACCGGGCGUAAAGGGCGCGUAGGCGGCCGAGUAAGUCGUGUGUGAAAGACCGGGGCUCAACUCCGUGUACUGCAUGCGAUACUGCCCGGCUAGAGAAAGGUAGAGGCGAGUGGAAUUCCCGGUGUAGCGGUGGAAUGCGUAGAUAUCGGGAAGAACACCUGUGACGAAGGCGGCUCGCUGGGCCUUUUCUGACGCUGUAGUGCGAAAGCGUGGGGAGCAAACAGGAUUAGAUACCCUGGUAGUCCACGCCGUAAACGAUGGGCACUAGGCGUUGGGAGGAUUGACCCUCUC
rnacentral:rRNA from 1 species